UGGGGCCGGGUGACCAGGAGCGCGGGAGGGCGGGGACACCUGUGCCUGAGAAGGUGCUGGAAGUGCCCGCAGGAGACAUUGGGACACCCCUCAUCCCAGCGGAACUCUGACUUGUCUUGUGAUCUGUGUCCGCAGUCUAGCAUGAACUUUUCGAGCUGUGAGUAUGGCAGAAUGUGCUAGACAAGGAAAAGGAAGUUUCAUUAAAUAUUUAUGUAGUGGUGGUCUUCAGGCAAGUGUGGAAAUGUAAGUGGGGGAGCUUCUCAUUUAGAAACAAAAUACAGGGGUACCUGACUGGCUUGACCUCCGGGUUGUAAAUUCCAAUCCCAUAUUCUGUGUAGAGAUUACUUAAAAAUAAAAUCUUUUUUGGGGCCCCUGGGUGGCUAAGUCAGUUGAGCAUCCCAUUCUUGAUUUUGGCUCAGGUUAUGAUCCCAGGGUCAUGAGAUACAGCCCCUCCUCCAGCUCUGUGCUCACAGCGCUGAGCCUUCCUGGGAUUCUCUCUCUCUCUCUCUCUCCCUCUCUCUCUCUCUCUCUCUCUCUCUCUCUCUCUCUCUCUCAAAUAAAUAAACUUAAAAGCAAAUAAACAAGGGGCGCCUGGGUGGUACAGUUUGUUGGGCGUCCAACUUUGGUUCAGGUCAUGAUCUCAUGGCUUGUGAGUUUGAGCCCCUCAUCAGGCUCUGUGCUGACAGCAUGGAGCCUGCUUGGGAUUCUGGGUCUUUCUCUCUCUCUCUCUGCCCAUCUCCCAACUCAUGCUCUGUCUCUCUUUCUCUCAAAAAUAAAUAAAACAUUAAAAAAAACAUUAAAAAUUAAUAAAAUCUUUUUAAAAAUAAAAGCAUAAUAGUCGAUUGAAAGAAAGGGCAUAUGAUCAAGUAUAACAAGUGUUUCCAAACCACUGAUGACAGUGACUAUGGACUGCGUUGUCUGCUCUUGUGUCCUGGGGCUUUGUCCCCUGCCUUGUGCUUAGAGCACACACUUCAGGGCAUCACCCCUCUACUUGCCUUCCAGAAGUUUCACAGUAAUCAACUUAUUGAUGGUGUUUGGAGGGUGUGUGUGUAUGCUGCUAACUUCUACAAGGCUAACUGGAAGCUGCUCACAUGUUAUCAGCACCAGUGUAGACGCAAAGAUAGGCAAUGCCAAGCCCUGUACAAGUAGAAAUGGUAAGAACCACAUGGUUCUAGACGAAAGCUCACCAAGUGCUGGGACAGUCGGAAAAGGCUCCAGAUCAGAGACAGGGCUUGCACUGGGCUUUCCGCCCAUCACAAAUGCUUGGUAAGUGUCCACUGUAUACAGGCACGAGCCAGAGUUUCGCAGACAGCAGUGAGCAAACCGGCAGCCGUGCCCCGUCGCCAUGUGUGAAAGGAGAACCAAAAGGAAGUCAGCACGCAAGACCCCUCGUGACUGAGGGAAAAGCAGCACCAGAAGAGCUCGCAAGGUAGAAGUGGACUGAGCAUCUACAGUCUGCCAGACACAGGUGGAGAAAGAGAGCAGAGGCUUACGGAGGAACCGCCAUCCCCACGUGAUCAUCACAGCACAGCCAAAGAGCAGCACGUUCCGUAAAGCAGAGGGGCCAAGAGAUGAGCCAGAAGGCCGGAGGAGGAGGAGACCUCUGACCUGCAGGAUCUGUACCAGGGACCACAGCAACCUCUGGGUGGAGAGCAAGGGCACAGCCCUGAGGAGGCAGAAGGGUGCGACGGGAGAGCUGACCAGAGACUGCAGAGGCCUUGCAGGACUGGGAGGUGCUGGAACUUGGUGCAACCCAGGCAGCAGCUGAGACGCCAGAAGGGCCACGCCCCAGGAGUCAGGGCAGCACAUGAGGAGUAAGGGACAAAGUUAAAUUACCUGAAGUGAAGAGCUCAUUGAAUUUUCUGGACAACAGACAGGGCACAGCUGAAGAGAGGGUUUUUCAACUCAAAGUUCCAUCAGGAGAAAGCACCUGAAAACUCAGAAAAAAAAAAAAUCAAAAUGAGAAAAAGAUAACAGAGAGCAAUGUUAGAGAUGUAUGAACAGGAUCGAAUGGUCUGAUGUACAACAGUCGAAAGCUGUACUUCCAGAAGGAAGGAGAAAGAAACUGGAGUAGAAAUAUUUGAAGGGAGAAUGUGUAAGAAUUUUACACAGUGGCGCGCCUGGUUAGCUCAGUCGGUUGAGUGUCCGACUCUUGAUCUCAUCUCAGGAUGUGACCUCAUGGUUUGUGAGAUCAAGCCCUGCGUGAGGCUCCACGCUGGGAGUGGAGCCUGCUGGGGGUUCUCUCUCUGUCCCUUCUCUUCGCUUGUGCUCUCUCUCAAAAUAAACAUAAAGAAUUUUACAAAUUGAUAAGAAUACACCAACCACAGAUCCAAAAAGUUUGGUAAACCCCAAAGAGAACAAAUUCAAAGAAAAACAUGUGGAGGCAUAUCACAGUCCAGCUUCUGAAAACCAAAGAUAAAAAUAAAUGUCCUAACAGGAGAGGCGCCUGGGUGGCUCAGUUAAACGUCUGACCUCGGCUCAGGUCAUGAUCUCACGGUUUGUGAGUUCAAGCCCCGUGUUGGGCUCUGUGCUGACAGCUCGGAGCCUAGAGCCUGCUUUGGAUUCUGUGUCCCUCUCUCUCUUUCUGCCCCUUUCCCACUUAUGCUCUGUCUCUGUCUCUCUCUCUCUCAAAAAUAGACGUUAAAAAAAAAGUUCUAAAAGGAGACAAAAUUGAAAAGACACAUCACAUUCAGGGAAACUAAAUGAGAAUGACUUAUCACAAGCAGUGGUGCCAGAAGACAGAGACGGCAUCUGCAAAAUGCUGAAUGUCAAACGGUCCUCCAGACCAGUAUUCAAUACCUAACAAAAAUACCCUUCAAAAAGUAAAGACGUAAUUAAUUUUAACACACGUAAAAAAAGGUAUUUUCAGAUCAACAAAAGCUGAAGAAUGUCACCAGAAGAGGCCUUCAGAAAAGUAAUGACGUUUUUCAGGCCACAGGAAGGUGACGGCAGUGGAAUCCCAGACCUGCACGAGGGCACGAAGACCUGGGCAGACGAUGGAGUGGGUGACUGUAAAAACAUUUAAAAUAACUUCUUUAAAAAAUUAUGGAACAAAUGCUUGAAGCAAAUUUUAAAGUCGCACGUUCCGGGCUUUAGAGCAAUGCUGUGCAAUAUAGUUUCUGAUGCGUUCAGUCAUGGUGCCUGCCCAGCACAGGAGCCGCCACCCCGGGGGGAGCUCGUGGGCACUUCCAGUGUGGCUAGUGGAACUGAGGAGCUGAACUUUAAGGCUGCAUUUGGUUAUAAUUAAUGUAAUUGUAUGUUUAAAUAGCCACAUGUGGCUAGUGGCUACCAGAUCAGACAAUGCAACCCACAGAAAUAAAAAAUACGAUCACAAGAGAAGAAAAAAAGAGGGAAGUCGGUGUUAUUUCACUGUUUCAAGGUUCUUACCUGGUUAAUCAAAUGGUGUAUGAUUCCAAAGUGAGCCGUAGUAAGUGAAGGGUACUUACUGUAAUUUAUAGCUCAACCACUAAUAGAAGUAUAAAUCUAUAUAUUAUAUAUGGUAUAUAAUACCUAUAGGUAAAAAACUAUGAGGAGAUAAGAUGGAAUUUUAAAAAUAUGUGAAUAGUCCAAUAGGCCAGGAAGAAGACAAAAAGCUCAGAUGGGACAAAUACAGAACAAGGUUGUGGCUUUAAACCCAACUGUGUCAGUUACUAUAUUAAAUGCAAAUGUGUGGAACAGUACAAUUAGAAGCCAGAAACUUUAGACUGAGUAGAAAGGAAAAGAGAAAAACCACCUGACCUACAAGUUUACAAAACACUCUUGCAACCUAAAGACGAAGACGAGCUGAAGGUACGGGGAUGGAUAAAGCAGUUUCACGCAAACCCCUGGCAUCAGACCAGCCGCCUCAGGUAAGGGCUGUCACAGGAGACUGGUCCACGGGGUCAACUGUGGGUUGACAGGGUCAACUCAGCAAUAAAAUGCAAGAAUACUAAGUGCAUAUCAUCACAGUCUCCAGGACUCCUGGCUGGCUCAGUGGAGCGUGUGACUCUUGAUCUCUGGGUUGUGGGUUCAGGCCCCACGUUGGGUGUAGAGAUUGCUUACAAAGAUGAAAUCCUUGGGGAGCCUGGGUGGCUCAGUCAGUUAAGUAUCCAACUUUGGCUCUGGUCAUUACCUCACAGUUCGUGAGUUCGAGCCCCGCAUCGGGCUCUGUGCUGAUAGCUCGGAGCCUGGAGCCUGCUUUGGAUCCUGUGUCUCCCUCGCUCUCUGCCCCUCCCCCCUCACGCUCUGUCUCUCUUUCUCAAAAAUAAACAUUAAAUUUUUUUUAAAGGAUGAAAUCUUUAAAAUAACAAACCUAACAUCCAAAGUUUCAAAGCAAAAAUUGACAGAUCUGAAAUGAGAUAGAAAAGAACCUACAAAUAUAGUUCAAGAUGUUAACAGUUGGCUAUGCAGUUACCAGAACGAGCAGGCAGAAAAGUCUAGAAGGCAAAGAAAGAACAACGAGGCCUGGACCUUCCAGUGUUUAUGUCAGGCAAGCCUGGCUGGAGAGAGUGUUGUCAGAACCCUGUGCUAGUUGACAAACCAUUUGUGCGGCGUUUUCUGCGUGCCAGGUACGGCUUUAAGGACUCUGUGGGUAUUGACUCAGGCUGUCCUGUGAUAGAGCUCUACCGGACAGACGCUCCAAUGGCCUGUAUCACACCCGGGCAGCGAGGGCACAGUGACCUGCCCACUCCAGGCCAGCCUAUACUGCCCUAUGCGGUAAGCAAAACUGAGGCUUCCUCUAUAUGCCACUCAGUAAAAAGGGUGCCAAUUCUUAAUGUUAUCACUGUGAAUUUUUAUAGUCUCUAAGAAACAUAAAUCAGAAGAAAAUCCACCACUGCCGCUGGUUUCAUUUAACAAGAUAAUACAAUGCGAUUGCAAGUCCUGUGGUCCUAAGAAUGUCACUCCGUGUAUCAGCAUUUUCCCCUAAACUGAAACACCUUCAGAGGCUCGGCAUUAUGCACCAGGCGAAAGCCAGACCCAGCAACCUGUGUUUCCUGCAAACAGACGUUCUCCCUGUCCAGCUCCGGCCCAGAUUUCCGUUUCCUCGCACUGCUCCCGGGUGGUGUGGGUGACCUGUGCCCACCCCAGCUGUUGGGCUCUGCCUACGGCUUGCCUGUGCCAUACUCCCCUCCAAACAGCCCCCUUCCCCGCCUAUUCCCGCAUCAGCCCUUGUUCAUACGGCUCUCCCGCCUGCAGCCAGGUACCCUCCUUCCCACCAAUCCAAUUCCCUCUUGACACAGUACAGUUGGCACUUGAACAACUCGAGGGGCAGGGUCGGGGCACCGACUCCCUUGACACCCCCAAAACUUUACUAAUAGCCUGCUGUUGACGAGAAGCCUUACCAAUAACAUAAAUGGUUGAUUAACAAUAUGUUCCUUGUUCUAUGUUUUAUAUACUGCAUUCUUCCCAAAGAAAAGGAAGCUAGAAUAAAAACAAAUGUUAGUCAAAUCCUAAGAAAAACA